rfam:Schistosoma rodhaini strain Burundi genome assembly, scaffold: SROB_scaffold0001917
AUCCAGCUGACGAGUCCCGAAUGGGAUAAAACGUGCGUCGUGGAU